UAGAGGGCAUCUGUGAGUAGUACGGAGCUAUGGCCAACAGGCGGUAAUCAGAAAAAGAAUUUCGCUCGAAUAUCAUAAUAGAACGAAAUAGUGGAGAGUGCAAGUGAAAGAUCGAUUGAAACUUCCAUACGCGUUGCUUUCCCAAUUGAUCCACAUCGAACGUUACCGUGAUGUUUGUCUAGGCAGCAUCUCGGUGAAUGAGAAAUGUCGAUGACCGCAAAGGAAAUUACCGCGAUUUGCUAUUGAAAAGGGGGGAAAAAGCUAGGGGAAAAUCUCGUCUCCUGACCUCGAGGGAGUAGGAGAAUAAAUGGUCGGUGAGCAAGAAAAGAAGAGUCGGUCGGUACUCUAUCUCAGGUAGAUUUCUACAUAAGAGGGCAUAUGGCACACAUGUUUAUUGCCGUAUCGCGAAGGGUCGCGUAUACGGGGGUGAGUAUACCACCCGCCACUGUCUGUCGUCCGUUUUCUCUCUCUUCUUUUUUCAUUCUCUUCCCUUGUAUCGUGCUUCGUUAUCGCUCUUCGUCUUUCGCGGCGCGCUGUUGCUAGCGGUCUCCGUCGAGCUUUCGCCACUCGUUCAUUCGCAUGCUUGCCAACUGCGCCACGCUGAAACUCAUCAAGAAAACCGCGGUGAUCAUAGCCCUCUCUCCUCUACGUCAUUCGUUUAGGCUGUAGUUUCCCUGUCUUUAUUGGACGGACGAUUAGUACAUUGGUUAUCUCUUUGUCGCGCUCAACGAACUCGUAAGAUAUCGCUCGUAUACGUGCUGAUACGUGAAUGUGUGUUGAGUGGCGGUCGUGCAGACAGGUGCGGCCGCCGGAGCCCCACCGUUGGUGGUGGCGUGCAUAGCGCCUCCAAGCGGCGACUCUCCUUAGUUUCGGGCAAGAUGGGCGAACCUCGCCGGGCAGUAGCUUAGACUCUACCUACAAGACAACACAUACACUAAAUGUUUCCUAACCACAAGUAACAAUUAAUUGUACAUUUAUUUUAUUUAAGGGAACACAAACUCUAUUUUUGUAACAUGCUGUAUUAGUAGUGCUUCGUGGAAUUUGUACGAUAUUAAAAAGGUGCGAGGCCACACGCGCGAUAUAUAACGGACGAGAAGACGACGACAGAAAGUACGAAAAAAGAUAGAAAGAUUUUCGCGAUAACUGGAAGAUCUAAGUGCGAAGGAAGAAGAAGAAGAAGAAAAGAAACACGAAGAGGAGGGAUAAGGAUAAAGGAAGAAGACGGUGUGAUUGGAAAGAUAGACGAGUGAAGGAUCGAAGAUAAGGACUUAAGGAAGACAGUGACCGAAGCGACGAGGACAACGAUAAAGGGAACAAUUCCGACGAAGACGGCAACGACGUGGAUAAGAACGAUCGUACCGCAACAGCAACCACUAUUGGUUGAAAACGAUACCGAAGUAGGUGAUAA
rnacentral:misc_RNA from 1 species